AGAUUUUUGAAUCCAUGCCGAGAUUUCCUCAGACACCACACCACCAGUAUUGAUGAGACUCCCAAAAUAAGUGAAGUU
rfam:Schistosoma mansoni, Puerto Rico, WGS project CABG01000000 data, contig: 0049